GAAUCUGCCCUCAGGUUCGGAAUAACAGCGAGAAAUUGCUGCUAAUACCGGAUGAUAUCGCGAGAUCAAAGAUUUAUCGCCUGAGGAUGAGCCCGCGUAGGAUUAGCUAGUUGGUGUGGUAAAGGCGCACCAAGGCGACGAUCCUUAGCUGGUCUGAGAGGAUGAUCAGCCACACUGGGACUGAGACACGGCCCAGACUCCUACGGGAGGCAGCAGUGGGGAAUAUUGGACAAUGGGCGGAAGCCUGAUCCAGCAAUGCCGCGUGAGUGAUGAAGGCCUUAGGGUUGUAAAGCUCUUUUACCCGGGAUGAUAAUGACAGUACCGGGAGAAUAAGCUCCGGCUAACUCCGUGCCAGCAGCCGCGGUAAUACGGAGGGAGCUAGCGUUAUUCGGAAUUACUGGGCGUAAAGCGCACGUAGGCG
rnacentral:rRNA from 1 species